rnacentral:tRNA from 1 species
CAAACUUUAAUUAAUUUAUAAUAUUUACUUGUCAUGUAAAAAUAACUCAGGUAAGUUUGA